rnacentral:lncRNA from 7 species
AAAGCGAAGUGAGCAGCUGCAGGGGGAGGCCGCCAUUAUCGCAGCACGCCGCCGCGUCAUCUAAUCGAGGCGAGGGGGAGACAGAGAGGAGGAGGAAAAACGGGAAAUAAAUCUUCAUCAAGCAACAGGUAGCGGGAGCGGACGCGAGGUGAACCACUAGCUGGCCAGUGCCGGCCGAGGCUAGGGUUCCGGGGAUCGCGGGCGCGGGCUCGGGCUCGACUUUCGUAGCCUAGCCGCCGCCGCCGGCCGCGCGGGGGAACCGGAUGCUAUGCUGCUGAGCUGCGGGUCGCUCUCCUCCUGGGUGCGCCGCUUCGUCGCCUGCGUUGGGUAAGUCACCCUCUCUCUCCCGCCCUGUCGUUCGCGGCGUCAGUUGAUUGCUAAGCUUGUCUGCUUCCCGCUUGCUCCGAUGUGAUUGGCCGUGGAUUGCGUUUAGCUGUACCGACGCGAUUGGCUCUGCGCUGAAUCCUUGGGGUCUGUUAGUUUUGGUGAGGAUUGAGUCCACAUGGGAUGGGAAUAACCGAGCGGGCCCUUAUGAAAUCAAUUGCGGUGAGUGAUCCGUGUAUCUGUUUGAGUGGGUUAGCUAGCACUUUGCAGGUUCCAAAAUGGCUGUAAGUUACUAGGUGUUAGCUCUAGACAACCCAAACUCAUAUG